ensembl:lncRNA
CUCAGUGGUUUCAACACCUGCUGCGCAAGCGCAAGGACCGCAGUACCAAAGGAAAAAAAGCCAAUGGGUGUGAAGGCAACCCUUCUUCAACUGAGGAAGUUACUCAAGGAAGAACUCUAACCAAGUGAAAAUUAAAUUACAACAAAACUCUCAAGGUAGAGUACAAGAAAGAAUGAAGGAGGAGGAGGAGGGAACCAUUUCUGCUUUAUUUGUCGCUCAGAGGUUUCUUCUGCCAUGCUCUUCCACCAUGAUAUUUCUGCUUUCGGGCCAGAUAGCCAUGGAUUAAAACCUCUGAAACCAUGAG